UCGAUGGCGCGCCUCGUUUAAAGCCCGUCUUCCAGCUGCAGAGCGUGGCACGGUCCGAAGGAGGGCACUAAGAGAGCUUCUUCCUUCACCUGAGGAUAGACAGAUAUCCCACGUUUUUUAGGGAUCUGCAAUAAUUUAAUGUUAAAACGCCUGGUAAUCACAGGCCAAGUUCAUGCUGUUCUUCAGGUGGUGAAUGAGGAAGGCACGUCGGCCAUCCUUUAAGAAUCUCCUGAGGUGACGGGCUGUGCGUCCUGUUUACCGUGCUUUGCAUACAUGUGAGCAGCAGUGCUUCUGGCUGCUUCAGUCCUGUUUCAUACCUUGGCCAAUUCACUUCUCAGGUGACAGCACAUCUACUGGCUUUACAUAGACUGUGAGCAUUCAAAGCAGUGGCCGGGUACCGCAGACAGCAGGACUGCAGUUGCCUGUGACCCAAGGCUCAGCUGAGUGUAGCACAACACUGUGGGCUUACACUAAACAUACACAGAAAACGUCCUAAUACUGGAAUAAUUCCUUUUGGAGAAAUAACUUGCCUGUGCAGUGAGGAGGAGGAGUUGCAAAUGGACUUGUACCUUUAGAGCUUGUUGAGAAGAGCGGUUUUCUCAGUACUUCAAAGGCUGCCUUCAAGAUUCAGUCAACUAAUGCUGGACUGAAUACAACCCGAGCCAAAUGUCAGCACGACUUUGUAGCUGGACUGCACUUGAAGGUAACUGGUGGGGAUACUGAGAUAUGCUGAGGAGUUGCACAGAAUAUAUAGGGGUGUUGGCGCCCACCAGGUCUUCUGCUGUGUUUGCUUCAUUUACCUCAGUACACAUCCCUGCUCUGUAUUGCUGCACUCCAGCACUUCAGACACCAGUGCUUCUGGAGGAACAGGCACAUAUAGCAGGCAUCUGUUGGGUAUAUCCCAGGGAUACAGUCCAAGCAAGCCUUGCCUUGCCUUAUGGCAUGCUGAGCUUUUCCUGCUAUUAGCCAUAAUUUGGCCUGAUUAAACACUUUCCCAGAUCCCUCAGACUAUUGUUUUCAGAGGGCUUGCAUCAAGCAGCAGGGGUGACAGUCAACCCUACUGCCUGAUGAGGCAGGGAAGUUCUGGCUGCUUGGUGAAUCCUAGUGCUCCACAUUGGGGAGAUCUGUGGACCCCACUGAAAUGGUCCUUGUCCAUACCAUCCUACGUGCACGCAGAGUUACUGCAAGUGAGGGACACCCGAGUGCUGAUAGACAUCAAGGCUGCUUGGAGCCAUA